rnacentral:rRNA from 1 species
UACGGGGGGGGCAAGCGUUGUUCGGAAUUAUUGGGCGUAAAGGGCGCGUAGGCGGUGUGGUAAGUCAGGUGUGAAACCUCCAGGCUCAACUUGGAGCUUGCAUCUGAAACUGCCGUGCUAGAGUGUGGGAGAGGAGAGUGGAAUUCCUGGUGUAGCGGUGAAAUGCGUAGAUAUCAGGAGGAACACCGGUGGCGAAGGCGGCUCUCUGGACCACAACUGACGCUGAGGCGCGAAAGCUAGGGGAG